CCUACGGGGUGCAGCAGUGAGGAAUAUUGGUCAAUGGACGAGAGUCUGAACCAGCCAAGUAGCGUGAAGGAUGACUGCCCUAUGGGUUGUAAACUUCUUUUAUAUGGGAAUAAAACGUUCCACGUGUGGGAUUUUGUAUGUACCAUAUGAAUAAGGAUCGGCUAACUCCGUGCCAGCAGCCGCGGUAAUACGGAGGAUCCGAGCGUUAUCCGGAUUUAUUGGGUUUAAAGGGAGCGUAGGUGGAUUGUUAAGUCAGUUGUGAAAGUUUGCGGCUCAACCGUAAAAGUGCAGUUGAAACUGGCAGUCUUGAGUACAGUAGAGGUGGGCGGAAUUCGUGGUGUAGCGGUGAAAUGCUUAGAUAUCACGAAGAACUCCGAUUGCGAAGGCAGUUCACUGGACUGCAACUGACACUGAGGCUCGAAAGUGUGGGUAUCAAACAGGAUUAGAUACCCGGGUAGUC
rnacentral:rRNA from 1 species